GUAGUCUCGCACAGAUGCAUAUCAAUAAGCGGAGGAAAAGAAACUAACAAGGAUUCCCCUAGUAACGGCGAGUGAAGCGGGAAGAGCUCAAAUUUGAAAUCUUAAAGGGUUUCCCUUUACGAAUUGUAGUUUAAAGAAGUGUUUUCUGUUGAGGUUUUGGUAAAAGUUCUUUGGAAUAGGACAUCAUAGAGGGUGAGAAUCCCGUAUUUGACCUUUACUUUCAACUUCGUGAUACACUUUCAAAGAGUCGGAUUGUUUGGGAAUGCAGUCCAAAAUGGGUGGUAAAUUUCAUCUAAAGCUAAAUAUUGGCGAGAGACCGAUAGCGAACAAGUACCGUGAGGGAAAGAUGAAAAGAACUUUGAAAAGAGAGUUAAACAGUACGUGAAAUUGUCAAAAGGGAAGCGUUUGACACCAGUGUUGUUUUUCUGAAAAUCAAUUAAAGAACUGUUUAUGCUAAGCUGUUUAGACUUUAUCAGCUAACUGUUUAGUUUUGAGCUUUUCUUUAAUGCACUUUUCAGUUAACAAGUCAACAUCAAUUUCUUUUGCUGUAAAAAAGCUUGAGGAAGGUGGCUUGAGAUUCGUCUUAAGUGUUUAUAGCCUCUUGCCUAUGCAGUCGGAGAGAUUGAGGUCUGCAGCGUAGAUCCUUCGGGGCUAAAUGCAUUUGUGCUAAGUUAUAGCAUUUUAUAGACAACUUGUUGACUAUGAUUUGUCUUGUAGCUUACUCGCUUAUGUUAUUUUACCUACGCUUAGGAUGUUGAAGACUCUACAGAGAUA
rnacentral:rRNA from 1 species